rnacentral:rRNA from 1 species
CCUACUGGAGGCAGCAGUGGGGAAUAUUGCACCAUGGGGGAAACCCUGAUGCAGCGAUGCCGCGUGAGCGAUGAAGUAUUUCGGUAUGUAAAGCUCUAUCAGCAGGGACGAAAAUGACGGUACCUGACUAAGCCGCCCCGGCUAACUACGUGACAGCCUCCGCGGUAAUACGUAGGGGGCAAGCGUUAUCCGGAUUUACUGGGUGUAAAGGGAGCGUAGACGGCGGUGCAAGCCAGAUGUGAAAGCCCGGGGCUCAACCCCGGGACUGCAUUUGGAACUGUGCUGCUAGAGUGUCGGAGAGGCAGGCGGAAUGCCUAGUGUAGCGGUGAAAUGCGUAGAUAUUAGGAGGAACACCAGUGGUGAAGGCGGCCUGCUGGACGAUGACUGACGUUGAGGCUCGAAAGCGUGGGGAGCAAACAGGAUUAGAUACCCCGGUAGUC